GAAAUAACAAUCUCAAAGAUUAAUUGAACUAAGUGAUGGAAGUUCUCUCUUAUCGGGUGGUUUCCCAGGGGCAUAAGCCUAUCAUGGGUUGAUCCCUAUUUAUGUGUUUAUGGGUUGUAUCCCAGGGGCAUAAGCCUAUCAUGGGUCGAUCCCAUUUGAUAUGUACUGGAGGCAGCCUAAUGGUCACAGUACAGUACAGUAAUGAUUACAAAGAUGAUAAG
rnacentral:lncRNA from 1 species